GAUGAACGCUGGCGGCGUGCCUAAUACAUGCAAGUCGAGCGAACAGACGAGGAGCUUGCUCCUCUAACGUUAGCGGCGGACGGGUGAGUAACACGUGGAUAACCUACCUAUAAGACUGGGAUAACUUCGGGAAACCGGAGCUAAUACCGGAUAAUAUAUUGAACCGCAUGGUUCAAUAGUGAAAGACGGUUUUGCUGUCACUUAUAGAUGGAUCCGCGCCGCAUUAGCUAGUUGGUAAGGUAACGGCUUACCAAGGCGACGAUGCGUAGCCGACCUGAGAGGGUGAUCGGCCACACUGGAACUGAGACACGGUCCAGACUCCUACGGGAGGCAGCAGUAGGGAAUCUUCCGCAAUGGGCGAAAGCCUGACGGAGCAACGCCGCGUGAGUGACGAAGGUCUUCGGAUCGUAAAACUCUGUUAUUAGGGAAGAACAAAUGUGUAAGUAACUAUGCACGCCUUGACGGUACCUAAUCAGAAAGCCACGGCUAACUACGUG
rnacentral:rRNA from 1 species